rnacentral:rRNA from 1 species
AACGAACGCUGGCGGCAUGCCUAACACAUGCAAGUCGAACGAAGCCUUCGGGCUUAGUGGCGCACGGGUGCGUAACACGUGGGAAUCUGCCCUUAGGUACGGAAUAACUCAGGGAAACUUGAGCUAAUACCGUAUGAUGUCUUCGGACCAAAGAUUUAUCGUCUAAGGAUGAGCCCGCGUCGGAUUAGCUAGGUGGUGGGGUAAAGGCCUACCAAGGCGACGAUCCGUAGCUGGUCUGAGAGGAUGAUCAGCCACACUGGGACUGAGACACGGCCCAGACUCCUACGGGAGGCAGCAGUGGGGAAUAUUGGACAAUGGGCGAAAGCCUGAUCCAGCAAUGCCGCGUGAGUGAAGAAGGCCUUCGGGUUGUAAAGCUCUUUUACCCGGGAAGAUAAUGACUGUACCGGGAGAAUAAGCCCCGGCUAACUCCGUGCCAGCAGCCGCGGUAA